rnacentral:rRNA from 1 species
GAGCGAGAGUGUCACUACUCCGCCCACGCAUGCGCCGUGUCGGUGCGUUUGUGACCGAGGCGCGUCUGGGAUGCCGCAUAUCGCAUGCGGUCGUAAGACCCGACCGCUUCGUGUUGACUUACUCCCACCUAACUGUAUAUACAUAAUGCGAGGAAAUUACAACUGGUAGCGUUGGAUCCCUCGGCAUGGCAUUCGAUGAAGGACGCGGCCAGCUGCGAAAUGUGAUGUGAAUUGCAACUCAAAGCGGUUAUCGUGAAUCAUUGACUUUUUGAACGCAUUGCACCGCCCUUUUGGGAGUGGUACGCCCGAUUGAGUAUCAUAAAGAUCUUCAGACAGUGGCAUUCCGGUCGUUCAAUCGACACGAAUGCGGAUGCUGCAAGCCAUCUUGCGAGGUGGUGGAGGCAUGUGCAUUUGGGUGUUUCUGUACUGGCUUCGAGACUGCCCGGUAGGCGUUUGCCUGUCGCGUGUCUUUAGAUGCAGUAGCAGUCGCUCGCGAUCUUGCAAGUCCGACUCCGUGUAGUGACUUUCAACACACGGAGGAGUGUCUUUGUGCACACUUGUGAGAGGUGACACCGCUUCUAAUUCGCCCUCGGGCAACACCGGUCCUUCGGGAUCGACAUGAUGAAUUGGUCUCACUCGGGUGGGACGACCCGCUCGAUUUAAGCAUAUUAUUCAGCGGAGGAAAAGAAACAACCAAGGAUUCCCC